CAAUCAUAUGUCUUCUACCCAUUAGAAGAGGAAUAAGAAAGCAAAGGUUAAAAAUCAGCUGUUUCAAGUUUUUGAUAUAAAAAGAGAAAGUUUUCAGAAAAAUCCUGAUACCUUCCAGGAUGUGACUCUUGCAAAUUUACAAGAAAAGGCAACUAAUCUAACAGCUUGAGAUCAAAGAACCUCUUGAAGACUUAUUUCAAGUUGCUGAUAUAAAAAGUAGAGGUUUUCAGCAAAGUCCUGGUUUUCCUGUUGUACAACUUGGAACAUACUAGAAAAGAAUUCAUAUGCACUAAAAUAUUUACAGAUUUUUCACCUCUCCUGUCAAGAAGCCCAGCUCCAGUUAACGUAUGUGUACUAUUGUUCUCUGUUCUUUUCUGUAUUUUUAAAACUUAAAUAUG
rnacentral:lncRNA from 1 species